rnacentral:rRNA from 1 species
GAUGAACGCUGGCGGCGUGCCUAAUACAUGCAAGUCGAGCGAACGGACGAGAAGCUUGCUUCUCUGAUGUUAGCGGCGGACGGGUGAGUAACACGUGGAUAACCUACCUAUAAGACUGGGAUAACUUCGGGAAACCGGAGCUAAUACCGGAUGAUAUUUUGAACCGCAUGGUUCAAAAGUGAAAGACGGUCUUGCUGUCACUUAUAGAUGGAUCCGCGCUGCAUUAGCUAGUUGGUAAGGUAACGGCUUACCAAGGCAACGAUGCAUAGCCGACCUGAGAGGGUGAUCGGCCACACUGGAACUGAGGCACGGUCCAGACUCCUACGGGAGGCAGCAGUAGGGAAUCUUCCGCAAUGGGCGAAAGCCUGACGGAGCAAAGUCGCGUGAGUGAUGAAGGUCUUCGGAUCGUAAAACUCUGUUAUUAGGGAAGAACAUAUGUGUAAGUAACUGUGAACAUCUUGACGGUACCUAAUCAGAAAGCCACGGCUAACUACGUG